rnacentral:rRNA from 1 species
UUAAAUUGAAGAGUUUGAUCAUGGCUCAGAUUGAUCGCUGUGGGCAGUCCUAUCACAUGCACUUCGAACGGUAACGGUAAGCAGCUUGCUGCUUUGCUGACUAGUGGCUGA